rnacentral:lncRNA from 1 species
UUUAUGUCCAGAUAUUUCUGCCGGGAGGGAAGAAAGAGACGCGUGAAGCGGACCGGCAACCGGAUUUUUGAUGGUUGUGCAACCUUAAAUAAUAAUGCCGGACAAUCCACUACUUAUUGAGGUCGAUGAUGAAGUCCUUACAGAUUUUAGUCGCAGAUACACUUACCCUUUCCUUUUGUGAGACNUUGCCAAAGGGUACACAUAUCAAUCUACCUUCCCGCUUACCUUGNCCUCCUCAAAGUUUGCAGACUAUAACAAUAGCAAGACCACCACCAGCAGCCAUCCUCAACUCAUAUGGUUAUGAAUUCAGUGCUUCCCUACCCUGGGAAAUCUGCAGUAUACAAAGCAACCCUUGGUAGAGUGAAAGCCUGAGACAGACAGGAAAGUGUUCAACUACUCAGUCACAGAUCUUUGGGGAAGACAAGGACCAAGGAUCUUUGACCCCCCCACUCCCAUCAAGGAACCAUUUGUCAAGAAAGCAGAGCACCCAGGAAGUACAAGAAACANUAUUUCAGUUGUCUUCUGUGCUUCAAAAUUGAGCUGAUUAUGAAUUCAUAGGCAGUAGAUAUGAGAAAUUUAUUUCUGAGGCCAGGGUUAUUGAAAUAUAAGAUGGAUGGAGGGAUUAUAGGGGGAGGAGAAAAGAUGCAUACAUACAGAUGAAGUAAGGUAGACUGAUAGAUGAGAUGGGUGGGGAAACAGGUCAACUUGUGUGUAUUCCGUGGCAUUAUUAAAAAUUAAAAUAAAAUCUUAUAUUGUCU